CGUGCCCAUCUCAACAAAUCUUCCAACAACAACGAUUACAAUCACCAUCGACUGAUUUUUCAUGUUCGCCCCUAGAAACAUGUAUGACAAUUAUGGUGAUGAGGUCCAUUAUCUCACGCAGUGCUCUCUACGUCCUGUACUAUAUGCUCCUAUCACCGAGGCAACCAACAUUCAAUAUCCCUUUCGAUGCAAAAGCCGAAUUAGGAGUUAUUAUAAUUUUCAGAUCGUGGGUUCUUCUAAUGGAUUGAUACGUGUUGCAGCAGACAGAGAUAUU
rnacentral:lncRNA from 1 species